GGGUGAUGGGCGCAGCCUGACGGAGCACGCCGCGUGAGUGAAGACGGUCUUCGGAUUGUAAAGCUCUGUCAUUCGGGACGAGCGGCAAGGAGAGGGAAUGCUCUUUGCGAGACGGUACCGAAGGAGGAAGCCCCGGCUAACUACGUGCCAGCAGCCGCGAUAAUG
rnacentral:rRNA from 1 species